AUGAACGCUGGCGGCGUGCCUCAUACAUGCAAGUCGAGCGAACGGACGAGAAGCUUGCUUCUCUGAUGUUAGCGGCGGACGGGUGAGUAACACGUGGAUAACCUACCUAUAAGACUGGGAUAACUUCGGGAAACCGGAGCUAAUACCGGAUAAUAUUUUGAACCGCAUGGUUCAAAAGUGAAAGACGGUCUUGCUGUCACUUAUAGAUGGAUCCGCGCUGCAUUAGCUAGUUGGUAAGGUAACGGCUUACCAAGGCAACGAUGCAUAGCCGACCUGAGAGGGGGAACGGCCAAACCAGAACUGAGACACGGUCCAGACUCCUACGGGAGGCAGCAGUAGGGAAUCUUCCGCAAUGGGCGAAAGCCUGACGGAGCAACGCCGCGUGAGUGAUGAAGGUCUUCGGAUCGUAAAACUCUGUUAUUAGGGAAGAACAUAUGUGUAAGUAACUGUGCACAUCUUGACGGUACCUAAUCAGAAAGCCACGGCUAACUACGUG
rnacentral:rRNA from 1 species